AACAGUACCAAGUGAAAAAUGAUAUGUCUUAAGAAGCGGAAAGUGACGGUAUCGUUUUCUAUAAACUCGUCAAUGGGAUUCGCGCAAAUGAUUCAUGGAUACAAGAUAUCACAAUAGGCUUAGGCAAAUGCAACAAUCAAAGGAUUUGUGGAUCACUUGUUGUUUGUUUAGAACAAGUUUCUCAUACUUCAAUGCAUUAUCAUCCAUGCUCUGCAAAACUCAACAAUGAGUUAAGAAUGGGUUUAACAACAGAUGAAAGGAACGAACGGGUCAAGUUGAAUCAAACGAACGAGUCAACAUAAGAUUCAUGUUUCUUGCAUUUUCUGUUCAGGUUUUUGUGUCUUGCUAAUUAGUUUUGCGGUUUGGUAAAUUAGUUAAUGCUUACCGUUCCGUAACUCGCAUAGCAAGUGUUCGAUAAAAUACUUGAAUCAAAUUUCUUCUCCUUUUGCCUUGUUUCAGUUCUAUUACGGGUUCUCUUUCUUACUAUUUUGGAUUAGGAAUCGAUUGUCUAAUAACUACGAAUUUAAUUGGGUUUGGAUUUGGUAUUGGCAAGGGUUGCGAUAAUGAUUCUUGGCGGUAUAUGGUGAAUUAAUGAUGAAGGUUGAAAUUAGUGAUGAAGGAGGUCAAGUUUUGGUAUUGACAAGAUGUUCAAUUUUCUAUUGUUUUUGUUCAUGGCAAGGUUUGGAUUUUUACGGUAGUCGUCCACACAAGAUGAAAAUCAAGGUAAAUACAUAAACAAGCAUGCAAAGAUAACUCAAACAAGCAAGCAAGCAUUCAUGGAGUGAUAAAUAAAGUUUGAGGCUUACCGAUCGGAGACCCUCCGAUGGUUCUUCAAUGGCGGCACCAAUUCAAUACGCAUGAACAAACAUGGUCAAGAAUAGAGUAUGAAUGAAUACCAUUGAAGAACUUUGAGUUAUUUUUAUUCUCUUGUGUACGGAAAUUAUAUAAUAUGUUUGUAAUGACAUAAAGUGAUGCAAAGUGAAGUCAUGUAAAUGUAGAAAUAAUAUUUAGUGACUUUUGAA